rnacentral:rRNA from 1 species
UACGUAGGGGGCAAGCGUUGUCCGGAUUUACUGGGCGUAAAGAGCGUGUAGGCGGCCAAACAGGUCCGUUGUGAAAACUGGAGGCUUAACCUCCAGACGUCGACGGAAACCGUAUGGCUAGAGUCCGGAAGAGGAGAGUGGAAUUCCUGGUGUAGGGGUGAAAUGCGUAGAUAUCAGGAGGAACACCGGUGGCGAAGGCGGCCCUCUGGACGGAUACUGACACUGAGACGCGACAGCGUGGGGAGCAAACAGG